AAGACAAUAAGGGGUGAAAUAAAGGAAAGUUGGUAAAUAUAUAAAAGCAGCAAAGGGCAGAAGAAUCAAACUUGUUAAGAUGGUUAAGAAUGGAUGAAAAGGAUAAGAGCAAUACAAUGAAUAAUGGAAAGGAUACAUUUGAAGGCUUAAACAUUAAAAUAGGAGUUGAGAAUAAAUAAAAAGGGUAAGAACAAUAAAAUGAAUAAAGGAAGGGAUAGAUUAAUGUAAAAAAAAGUCUAAAAAAGGGAAAAUCACAUAAAAGCGAGUCUAUAAAACUAAUAAGAAGCCUAGCUGCUGCGUUCUGGACCAGUUGGAGGCGGGAGAGUGAUUUUUGGGUGAUACCUGAAAGGAGUGAAUUGCAGUAGUCCAAUCGAGAGAAGAUCAGCGAGUGAAGGAUUUUUUCCAGGUCAGCAGGGGGCGGAAUGGUUUUGAUUUUGGAAAUUGACCUUAGAUUAAUGAAACACGACUAGACAACUGUUUUUGUUAAUAAUUAAAGGUGAGGUCUGAAUCAAAAAUAACUUAUAGAUUUCUUGCUGUGGGUGUGAUUUUGGGUAGUUGAAUAGAAUUAUUUCGGAUUUUGAGUCAUUUAAAUGUAGAAAACUUUGGCCUUUUAUCUUUCAGACAGUUAAAAACAACAGCUGGGCUUCUUUGAUCACCAGGUCUCAGCGGAAGGUAUAUCUGUGUGUCGUCUGCAUAGAAAUGAAAAGAAAGGUUAUGGCGCUGAAUGAUAUUACCAAGAGGGAGCAUAUAGAUGGAAAAUAAAAGAGGACCUAAAAUCAAACCUUGCGGUACACCACAGGUAAUUUGAGAGGUGGAUGAGG